UACGUAGGGGGCAAGCGUUGUCCGGAAUCAUUGGGCGUAAAGCGCGUGUAGGCGGUCCGGUAAGUCCGCUGUGAAAGUCGGGGGCUUAACCCUCGGAUGCCGGUGGAUACUGGAUGGCUAGAGUACGGAAGAGGCGAGUGGAAUUCCUGGUGUAGCGGUGGAAUGCGCAGAUAUCAGGAGGAACACCAAUAGCGAAGGCAGCUCGCUGGGACGUUACUGACACUAAGGCGCGAAAGCGUGGGGAGCGAACAGG
rnacentral:rRNA from 1 species